rnacentral:lncRNA from 1 species
CUAAGUGUGGGUUAGGUUUCUAUCACACAAAAGAUGCAUAUAUAAUCUCUACCCUGGGUGGGAAAGUAUCCUCAUACCAAUUGACCCACCAUGUACCUAUCAAGUUAGGAAAAACCCUUCUUAAGGAAGACCUACUUAUCCUUGGUUUAGAGGGGAUAAAUAUUAUCUUGGGCUUGGAUUGGAUGACUCAGCACCGAGUGGCACUAGACAUCCCUACCAAAGCAGUCCAUAUAAAUUCACUCAUAUAUGGUAGCUCAAUCAUACACUUACC